CGGGGUGAGUAACACGUGGGUGACCUGCCCUUAGCUCUGGGAUAAGCCUGGGAAACUGGGUCUAAUACCGGAUAUGACCUCAUGACGCAUGUUGUGGGGUGGAAAGCCUUGUGCGGCUAGGGAUGGGCCCGCGGCCUAUCAGCUUGUUGGUGGGGUGAUGGCCUACCAAGGCGACGACGGGUAGCCGGCCUGAGAGGGCGACCGGCCACACUGGGACUGAGACACGGCCCAG
rnacentral:rRNA from 1 species